rnacentral:rRNA from 1 species
AGAGUUUGAUCCUGGCUCAGAGUGAACACUGGCGGUAUGCUUAACACAUGCAAGUCGAACGCGAAAGUCUUCGGACAAGUAGAGUGGCGAACGGGUGAGUAAUACAUAGUUCACCUGCCCUAUAGUUUGGGAUAACAGUUAGAAAUGACUGCUAAUACCAAAUAUUCCGGUAACGGGAAAGAUUUAUCGCUAUGGGAUGGGACUAUGGCCUAUCAGCUUGUUGGUAAGGUAAUGGCUUACCAAGGCUAUGACGGGUAACUGGUCUGAGAGGAUGACCAGUCACACUGGAACUGAAACACGGUCCAGACUCCUACGGGAGGCAGCAGUGAGGAAUCUUGGGCAAUGGGCGCAAGCCUGACCCAGCAAUACCGCGUGGAGGAUGACGCUUUUCGGAGUGUAAACUCCUUUUCUACCAGAAGAUAAUGACGGUAUGGUAGGAAUAAGCACCGGCUAACUCCGUGCCAGCAGCCGCGGUAAUACGGAGGGUGCAAGUGUUACUCGGAAUCACUGGGCGUAAAGAGUGCGUAGGCGGCUCAAUAAGUCUUGUGUGAAAUCCUACAGCUCAACUGUAGAACUGCAUGAGAAACUAUUGGACUCGAGCGUGGAAGAGGCAGGUGGAAUUCCCGGUGUAGGGGUAAAAUCCGUAGAGAUCGGGAGGAAUACCUAUAGCGAAAGCGACCUGCUGGUACACUGCUGACGCUCAUGCACGAAAGCGUGGGGAGCAAACAGGAUUAGAUACCCUGGUAGUCCACGCCCUAAACGAUGAAUGCUAGUUAUAAUGAUGUUCGCAUUGUUGUAAUGCAGCUAACGCAUUAAGCAUUCCGCCUGGGGAGUACGGUCGCAAGAUUAAAACUCAAAGGAAUAGACGGGGACCCGCACAAGCGGUGGAGCAUGUGGUUUAAUUCGAAACAUACGCGAAGAACCUUACCUGGACUUGACAUCCUAAGAAUUUUUUAGAGAUAAGAAAGUGCCUUUCGGGGAGCUUAGUGACAGGUGCUGCAUGGUUGUCGUCAGCUCGUGUCGUGAGAUGUUGGGUUAAGUCCCGUAACGAGUGCAACCCUCGUCUUUAGUUGCCAUCAGUUUGGCUGGGCACUCUAAAGAGACUGCCUUCGCAAGAAGGAGGAAGGUGAGGAUGACGUCAAAUCAUCAUGGCCCUUAUGUCCAGGGCGACACACGUGCUACAAUGAGAUGUACAAAGAGUUGCUAUACCGCGAGGUGGAGCUAAUCUCUAAAACAUCUCCCAGUUCGGAUUGUAGUCUGCAACUCGACUGCAUGAAGUUGGAAUCGCUAGUAAUCGUGAAUCAGCCAUGUCACGGUGAAUACGUUCCCGGGUCUUGUACUCACCGCCCGUCACACCAUGGGAGUUGAGUUCACCUUAAGUCGGGAUGC